rnacentral:lncRNA from 1 species
CGAUCACGUCCGCUAAAAAUGAAUGCUUUGAAAAAUCAGUCCCAUUGCCUUGGAUUGUAGAGUGAAUCCCUUUACAGAAAAGUAUCAGGUGUUCAGCCGUUUCUUCCUCCUCUCCACACGUACCGCAUAGUGUGACUAACCCUUCGUAUUUAGCUCGGUACGUCUUAGUCCGCAAUAUUCGCGUGCUGGCUUCAAACAGAGCUAACAGAGCAAGCAACUAGGGGUGUGCGAAUGGAGAAUUGUUUAACCUAAUCGAAUACGUAUCGCAUAGCCGUGACUCCGAAUCUAAUACGAAUACGAAUCGAAUACUAUUCGAAUAGUUUUCCAAUAGUGAGACAGCCAUCUUUAAAGCAGCCCUAGAAUGGUACGUAUGUAACCAUUUUCGAAACAUUCCAAGAAAUCCACAACAUUUUGUAUGAAACGAACUCACAAGCUUUAACAAAGGAAUAUACCAUUGCUUUUUACCGACAAAGAUUGCCAAAAUUACGUAAACUGAGGCAAGCUAGGG